AUGUCACAUAUAAACCUGAUCCAACAACCAAUCAGUGUCUCCCAGUAAAGAAGUAUCCUCUCUCCUCAUUUCCAUGAAAUCCUUGAUUUCACUGAGCAGAGAGAGGAAGUGCUGCAGAACUUUGUCUCUGCUGAGUCCUCUGACCUCAGAGUGAAGGAGGUCACCAUGUUCAGCAGAACAUUCCUCCAGGAGAAGCUGGAAGCUCCAGUGUGUCAAAAAUAUGUAGCUCUAUAACUAUAACUCAUUCAUACAAAUCAUAAUCAUAACGUAAUGUAACGUGAGGCUGCACAGAGAUGAUGCUGAGACGCUUUUUUCUGCUUAAGACAUUUUAAACACGCUGGUCGCUACACUGAUUGAUUUUAGAUUUGAUUUGAUUUUAUUUUUCCAACAUGCCAAUAACAAUUCAGCAAAAAAAUAAAAAACAUAAUUAAAAAAUAAAUCAAAGAAAAGAAAAACAUCUUGAAAACAUAACAUAACAUAACAAUAGCAUGAGAACAUUUCAAAGAAAAUUUGGGCAUGUUGGUAAAGGAGCGGGCAGAAGCUGAGCUUAUUAAAGCUCGCCCCUUUUACUUUUCCUGUUAGUUUAACAACACAUUAUUGUCAGCAUGUCAUCAAAGAAAAUAAUGAUAAAUAAUUUAACGCUUUCAUUAUCACCACCAUUCUUAGCAUUGCUUCACACUUUUAGACAAAGAUUACAUACUGUUGCAGGAGGCACCACAUGAGGGCGCUGUCAUAAGUCCUUUAAAAAGAAGGCUGAGAGAGCAAGCAAGGUAAUGCCAGUUUCCUGUGUUUGACCAGGUUGAAUGGGAAGCUCUUUCAGUGAGUCCCGGAGCAUCUGUAUUUUUAUGUGAGAGUGGACUGGGCGUGAGGGUGUGACGACGUACCAGGUGGCAGCACUUUUAAUCAUGCGUCAAAUUUAGAUGUAUUAAAAGUUUUGUAAAUCA